rnacentral:rRNA from 1 species
AUUGAACGCUGGCGGCAGGCCUAACACAUGCAAGUCGAGCGAGCGGCGGACGGGUGAGUAAUGUAUGGGGAUCUGCCCGAUAGAGGGGGAUAACUACUGGAAACGGUAGCUAAUACCGCAUACCAUCGGAUGUGCCCAGAUGGGAUUAGCUAGUAGGUGGGGUAAAGGCUCACCUAGGCGACGAUCCCUAGCUGGUCUGAGAGGAAGACCAGCCACACUGGAACUGAGACACGGUCCAGACUCCUACGGGAGGCAGCAGUGGGGAAUAUUGCACAAUGGGCGCAAGCCUGAUGCAGCCAUGCCGCGUGUAUGAAGAAGGCCUUCGGGUUGUAAAGUACUUUCAGCGGGGAGGCGUUACCCGCAGAAGAAGCACCGGCUAACUACGUGCCAGCAGCCGCGGUAAUAC